CAGGCGGCUGGGAAGUCUGGACGGCGCCCAUACCAAAGGGAGGACGUCUGCCUGGAAGCAUGUGUGUAUGAUCCAAUACAAGAUACAACACUGCAUUUAGUCUUCACGUCUCCUUAGUCUCCUGGUUUCUCAGCUAUUCCUUGUAUUCUGUGACCUUGAGAAUUUUGGAGAGCACAGGUCAAAUAUUUUGCGGAGUGCCCCUCAAUUUGACUUUCUUGAUGUUUUCUCAUGAUUAGGCUGGGGUUGUGGGUUAAUGGGAGGACCACGGAGGUGAAGUACCCCCUCACUGCACCACAGCAGAGAGUGUCACGUCAACGUCAACAGGACCUACCACGUGGUUAUGACUGGUUUCUCCACUGUGGAGUUACUGUGUCCCCAUCCUACAUGCUAUUCUUUGGCAGUGUGUCACAGGCCAGCCUACACUCAAGGGGAGGGGGAUUAAGUUCCAAACCUUCUGGGGUGGGUGGGGGGAGUAUCUACAUAUAUUAUCUGGAAUUUUUCAGAGAGAAAUAUUUGUCCUUUGUCUCUCAUUUAUGUGUUCAAUCAUUUAUUUAUAUCACUAUGGAGCCGUGGAUAUGCAUUUUAUUUUGCAGGGUUAUAAUUAUUCAUGUUGUCACUCAGGUUGUCCCAGUUUGGGAAUGAGGGUCUCUUUCAGCUUGGCUCCAGUGUUCUUCAGCUUCCCCACCCCACCUCCUUUUUGUUUUUGGUGAGCACUUUCUUUCUUUCUUUUUUUUUUUUUUUUCAUUCUGGCUCUAUAAGGUUCCUCUUAUAUUUUUCCUGCUCUGCCUUACAAUCAGCCUUUUCUCCUAGGAGUCCUGAUUUCUUUCCUUGGAGAAUUGUAUUUAAAAACCAAUCACUGGGCCCUGGGGAUGCUCAUUGCUACUGGGGUGUCAGUCACUGCUUCCAGACCUUCUCAGCAGACAGAGCUAGGAAAUAUCUGUAUGUACAUGUGCAUAGACACAUAGCUAUAAUCACUUCUGUAUUUCUACUUAUCAGUAUAAGUAAAUACGAGUUCUUAAAAUAAACAAGAAUUCACGUGGUUACACUAAUCUCUAAUCCACGAUUAUAGGGUUCAUUCUAGUCUUCUUCCUUCACUAAUUUGUAAUUUCUUUCUCUGACAGUGAAAAUCUUGGCUUUCACUAUUGACGACUCAUUUACUUACUUAUUCAGUCCUAAAAUAUAUGUAGCAGUUUCAGAACUGAGUUUUGUAUACUGAUUUUUUCUUUCUUCUUGUUUUUAAUGUUAACUUUCUAGAAGCAUAAAAUACAUUCAUAAAAGUGCACAACUCAAAAGUGUAAGGCUUGCAUUUUCAAAAAGUGAGCACAUUCUGUUAACCUGCACCCAGAAGAUCAAGAAACAAAACGUUAUCAAAAUUUCAGAAGCCCCGUGACUCUUGGCAGUCAUGUCUCCCCUAUACACAGAAAGCCCUAAUUUGACUUCUAACGCUAUUAGUGAGUUUUGGCUGUUUUUGAACUUUAUGGAAAGGAACCAGACUGAAUUGUAUCUGCUUCUUUUGCUUGGCAUAAUGCUUUGAGGUCCACCCCUGUUGUUGCAGGUAGUUAUAGCUUAUUCAUUCCCAUGUGUCCUGCUUUCUUAAGAUUGUAUCAUGAGUUCUUUUCCACAGUCUUAAGUGUGUUUCUCCAGUGCGAUUUUAAUGGCUAUAUAAUAUUCCACAGUUUGAUAAUACCAUAAACUAUUUACUUAUCCCAUCUUGUCUGUCAUUUGAUGGGCCUCUAAUUCCUGCAUUAUGAUAACACUAGUCAAUGUUACCUUAAGAAGAUUGAUGUAAUAAUCCUAAUGCCUCAGAGUUAGUCUCAUCACAUCUGGAGGUUUGCAUUCUAUUCCAGCCUUAGUCCUCACAGCACAUCCAGAGGGGGCCUAAGAGGGUGCUGAGGAUUCUGGAAGCUGUGGCUUAGGAAGCUCAGCUUGGGGAACUGGACUAUUAGGCAUGGGGGUAGACAAGAUAGCUGUUUUCAAAUAUUUGAAGCACUAUUUGAAAGAGUGUUUUAUGAAGUUUUAUUCUGUUUUAUGAAGUUUUAGUCCUCAUGUUUAGCUAGGAAGAGACAGGUUUUUUGUUUGUUCUGUUUUGUUUUGAACCUAUAAUAGUAUAAGGAAGGUGAUGAAUAAGACAGGUACUAGAAAUAACUACACCUGAAUGACACCCAUGAACUGGGACUGCCCUGCGCAAACCAGGCCAUCCAUCAUCACCCCAGGCACAAGAAACUCUUUCUAAUGAGUACAGACUUGACUGAGAAAUGAAAAGGCUGAUGUACAGUGCUGAUCUUUCUGUUAUUUGAGAUGUGUUAUAGUGUUAGGCAGGAUUGUGCAAAGGUUUCCUACAUUGGGAGGGAGGCUACACUAGAUGACGUCCAAGUGGCUGGAUGAUCAUUGGAUGGCAGUCUAGUUCUGAAAGUCCAUAAUUCAGCCUGGAAAAUGAUCAGCAGUAUUGCCAAAGUGAGUAAAUAAGAUUUACAUUUCUCUCUUCCUGGUCCUUAUAGAAGCAUGAUUUCCAUCUGGUCCUCAUACUUGCCUUUUUUAAACAGCUUUAUUGGUGUCUGGUUGCCGAGAGUUAAUAGAGUGUUGUGCACUUAGAAAUUUGCUGAAAGAGAAGAUCUCAUGAUAAAUGUUCAAAAUUGGCUUUUGCAAGGCUAGAAGAGAGGACAGGGAUGAUGCUUUGUAACUUGUCAGAUGCUGGGCCUGAAGUUCAAUGUUCUGUGGUGAUUGAGGGUCGAUUCUCUCUGAAGUUUUGAGAAUUUAAACGACUUAUUCAGGGUGCACGAGUCAGAAUGUUUUGGUUGUAAGAAACAAAAGUCACUGGCACUAACAUAAGCCUGAGGCUCAAAUACAUCUAUGAUCUUGAAUUAUAUGAGUGACCCCUCUAUCUUGAUAACAUAUUACCACUUAAAAA
ensembl:lncRNA novel transcript